rnacentral:rRNA from 1 species
AAUGAACGCUGGCGGCAUGCCUUACACAUGCAAGUCGAACGGCAGCAUGACCUAGCUUGCUAGGUUGAUGGCGAGUGGCGAACGGGUGAGUAAUGCAUCGGAACGUGCCUUUUAGUGGGGGAUAACGUAGCGAAAGUUACGCUAAUACCGCAUAUUCUCUGAGGAGGAAAGCAGGGGACCUUCGGGCCUUGCGCUAGAAGAGCGGCCGAUGUCGGAUUAGCUAGUUGGUGAGGUAAAGGCUCACCAAGGCAACGAUCCGUAGCGGGUCUGAGAGGAUGAUCCGCCACACUGGGACUGAGACACGGCCCAGACUCCUACGGGAGGCAGCAGUGGGGAAUUUUGGACAAUGGGCGGAAGCCUGAUCCAGCCAUGCCGAGUGAGUGAAGAAGGCCUUCGGGUUGUAAAGCUCUUUCGGCUGGGAAGAAAUCGCACCCUCUAAUACAGGGUGUGGAUGACGGUACCAGCAGAAGAAGCACCGGCUAACUACGUG